UUGAACGCUGGCGGCAUGCUUUACACAUGCAAGUCGAACGGUAACAGGUCUUCGGAUGCUGACGAGUGGCGAACGGGUGAGUAAUGCAUCGGAACGUGCCCAGUCGUGGGGGAUAACGCAGCGAAAGCUGUGCUAAUACCGCAUACGAUCUAUGGAUGAAAGCGGGGGAUCGCAAGACCUCGCGCGAUUGGAGCGGCCGAUGUCAGAUUAGCUAGUUGGUGGGGUAAAGGCCCACCAAGGCGACGAUCUGUAGCUGGUCUGAGAGGACGACCAGCCACACUGGGACUGAGACACGGCCCAGACGCCUACGGGAGGCAGCAGUGGGGAAUUUUGGACAAUGGGCGCAAGCCUGAUCCAGCAAUGCCGCGUGAGUGAAGAAGGCCUUCGGGUUGUAAAGCUCGUGCGGCGGGGAAGAAAGCGCACGGGUUAAGACCUCGUGUGGAUGACGGUACCCGAAUAAGAAGCACCGGCUAACUACGU
rnacentral:rRNA from 1 species